GACGAACGCUGGCGGCGUGCUUAACACAUGCAAGUCGAACGAUGAAGCCGGAGCUUGCUCUGGUGAAUUAGUGGCGAACGGGUGAGUAACACGUGAGUAACCUGCCCUUGACUCUGGGAUAACUGCGGGAAACCGUAGCUAAUACCGGAUACGACCCUCGGAGGCAUCUCCUGGGGGUGGAAAGAAUUUCGGUCAAGGAUGGACUCGCGGCCUAUCAGCUAGUUGGUGAGGUAAAGGCUCACCAAGGCGACGACGGGUAGUUGGUCUGAGAGGAUGACCAGCCUCGAUGGGACUGAGACACGGCCCAUACUCCUACGGGAGGCAGCAGUAGGGAAUUUUGCACAAUGGACGAAAGUCUGAUGCAGCAACGCUGCGUGAAGGAUGAAGGUUUUCGGAUCGUAAACUUCUUUUAUCAGGGAAUAAUUAUGAAGGUACCUGAUGAAUAAGCACCGGCUAACUACGUGCCAGCAGCCGCUGUAA
rnacentral:rRNA from 1 species